rnacentral:lncRNA from 1 species
CUGAGUUCUUGGCUGACUUAGGGGGCUCUGAGAAUCCUGUUUCAUCCCCAACAGCAAAAACUCAAAGUCCACAGGGAGAAGUGGCCAAGGUCAUUGCCCAGGAAAAGUGGCCCCUGGUCAGUCCCCUCUAGUGCUUGACACUCAUGGGUGUCCAAGGGGGUCUGCAGCCCAUGUCUGGUGCAGGGACAGGGAUGGAGCAGCCACCAUGGCUGCGCCAUCCCUAUGGCGCCUCCCAGCCUGACACCCACCCCCAUGUCUAGAGCCCGUGGUGAAGAUGUCCCGGGACCAUAUCCAGGAGUUCCUGCAUGUGCUCCUUCCCCAGUGCCUGGCUCUCUUAACCUGGUGGCCUGUGACUCUGAGCAGGGCUGAGCUCCCCCAGCCCCAGCAGACACAGGAAGGAGCCUGCUGUGCAGACCAGGCAGGCCCUGUCCUGCUGAGGGUGGUCCAAGCUGAGGCUGAGCCUCAGGGCCAGCAAGUGGGGGACAGGGCCAGGGUCAGGGGUUGCAGCAGGAACAAGGAUUGGAGCAGCCAUGGUGGCUACGCCAUCCCUAGGGCUCCUCCUAGCCUGAUGCCCACCCCCAUGUCUAGAGUGCCUGAUGAAGAUGUCCAGGGACCACAUCCGGGAGUUCCUGCAGGUGACCCUGAAGCAGGCCUGGUCACUGAGCGAGGAUGCAGUCAUCAGGCAGCUGCGGGCCUCCAUGCGUGAGCUGGGGAAGCUCCAGUGCCUCCUGCCUCCCGAAGCAAAACCAACAGAAGAUGGCAGCCCGGCCCUGCAGGUGCCGCCUGGCUCUCAGGAGCGCACUCCCCCACCAGUGUCCCUUAAGACCAUCGUUGAGGAGAGCAAAGGCUGCCACCCUGCUGCUGCAGCUCCCAGGAGCCAGCGGGGGCUUCAGCUUCUGUCCCCGAGGAGACCGGUCCUCUCGGAUCUGCCGUCCAGCCUGACUCCAAGCAACACACCAAGGAGGAGAAGGGCAGUCGUGGCGAGAGCAGCACACAGCCCCACGGCCCGGGCUCCUUCACGGGGGCCUCAGGGUCAGGGGGCACUGCCCACCUCUCGGGCCCACAGUGUUCCUGGGUAGAUGAGCCAGGCCCCCUCUGGCGCUGGACUUCCCUGACCAAACUCUACAUGACCUUCAAAUAUGACGACUCCGACUCUGACGACGAGGAGUACUACAACGGCCUGGAGGAGCAGGAAGAGGAGGAAGAGGAGGAGGAAGAGGAGGAAGACCAGGCUGCCGAGUGCCCUGCGUCUCCCUGGCCAAAGCUGCUGCGGGACCUGGGAUUCAUCCUGCCUGAGACGAUUUUUGAAGAGGACAAGGAGGGAGGCUAUGAAGAUGGCGCCUCCCCGGAGCCCUCAUCCCCAGCCCUGUCUGUGAAGUCCUCAGAGUCUCUGCGUGGCCCAGGCCUCUCGGCCCCACAGAGCUUGCAGAGCAGGGGAGACCUGUCCUGAUGGGCGGGCCUCCCACAUCUCAGCCCGCCUGUCAAAGGCGCUUUCUGGCCCCUGGAGCUGGGUGGCCAGCAGGGUCUCAGGGCCCCUCCCCCACCUGCCUCAGAGCCCCUGGAUCCCGGGCCCAUGCAGGCUGUGCCAGCCCUGGAAGCAGGGCUGAAGAUGCCCUCCCUUCAUGGGAGCCCAUGCAUUCUGGGGAUAGUCACGGGUGGGAGCCUGCAGGAGCCAGUCCCGCGCUGGGAGACCAGGCCUGUGUGCCCUCCCUGGCUCGAGGCCUCCUUGCUGCCCACUCCAUGGAGGAGCUGGAUGUGUGUGGGCACCUGGAGGGGAAGAAGAGCCCACCAGCUGUCCAGCUCAGACGGGCCAGAAGCCUAAAUUGUCUAAGCACAGCGGCCUCCCCGAUGGACAAGGCUCCUCUCCGGAGCUCCUCUCCCCCUACCUGAGGCCUCACCCUAGCUGAACUCAGCCAGACGCCUAGCUUCUCUAUGCCCAGUGACCUCCCUGAUUGACAAGGUUCCUCUCUGGAGCUCCUCUCCCCCUCCCUGAGCGGCCUCACCCUGGCUCAUCUCAGCCCAAGGAGCCAGCCCACUGCCACAGUUGCUAUGGGCACCCUCAGAGCAGAUGAGGUAGGACACAGACCCAGGCACCUGUGGGCUGCCAUGUACCCCUCCCGCCUUCGUGAGGGAACCCGGGAACUUCUGCCCCCUUGUUGAUUGUAUACUAAAUUGUUUAUUUCAGAAUGUAUUUGAUUUUGUGACCCCUGGAGCCGAGCUGCCACACAGGGUCCCUGAGUCCCUUGCAAGGGACUGGAGGUGCCACAGCCACCAGAUGCAGGCAGAGACCUGGCUCAGGGUGCUCCAUCAGUUCCUGAGAUUGACCUGUGCCCAGCGUGGACCAAGGGAGGACCAGAGGAGCAGCAAUGGCUGGGUACAUGUGGCCUUUGGGACAGUUCAGGAGUGUGGGUCCAGCCAAGGGACCAGGCCCAUGAUCACCUCUGUGCACUGUCCUGGGUGUGUGGGCACCAGGUUCCCACUCUUCUUCCCUCUCUGCCUUCCAUCCUCCCUGCCCCAUCUCACAAUCCAGCAUCUCAUGGCCUGAGCCUGCGAGAGGACCCCAGGGCACUUCUGACCACACACCAGGAUGCCAGUGGGUGGAGGCAGCCCCAGAAUAUCCAGGUAGUCCUGGUGGCACACCUGGCUGGGCAGAUGCCCACAUGCCCUCUAGCAGCUCAGGCCUCCUGGUCUGCUGUCACAGUGGGUUCAGCUUCUCCAGGUCAUGCUGUCACUAGGGGUCAUUAGCAUGGAGAAUGUGUCCCCUGACGUUGGGAGAAGAGACUCCUGGCUCAGAGGCUCCUGGCCUGGAGGCUCCAAAGGGAAGGAGUCUGGAACCCUGCCUUGGGCAGAGAUAGCAUCCCACUUCUCCAAGGGUCCCAGACACUUGUAGCCCCUACCUCAACCCACACGACCUCCAAAAGGCGACUAGGCCCUGUUCAUCAGAAGCCACCUGGGUCAUCCCAAUGGGGCAGGUUAAGCCAUAGCCAUUUUCCCCUGGGUCUGGAAGGCCUAGGAUUCUCAGGCUGUUGAGUCUGGUUUGGAGUUGACCACUCUGUACUCCGUUCUCAAAUGAGCCAUGGCUGUGUCAGUGGCAGGACCCCAAGGGCUCAGAAUCGCUGGUCCCCACAGGGUGCUUUUUGCAGAAUCACAUUGAGGCCAAAAUCUGAUGAGAUAGAGGGUGACAAGUGGCUACUGUGCUGAUGACUCAUCUCUCCAGGGUGGGGAGCCACAGCCAUGGGCCAGUCCUGAGCCUGCUCCGUUCUCCAGUGCUCAGGGCUGGUCCUCUUGUUCCUGGAAACCAUAAGGCCAUAUUUUGGAGUCUUCACCAGCUUCUUCUGCUCCUUAUCUGGGGGAAGAUGUGAGCCCGAUGAUGAGCUUGCAGGCAAGGUUGCUACAGGGCGGGCAAAGUGGAUGGGAAGGCCCCUGUCUAGGUCAAGCCUGUCCUGUGCUCCCUGCUCUGCCCUGGCUUCCUGGGUGGACCGCAGUGUACUCAGAGAUGUGCAGGCAUCCACCUGUCCAGGCGCAUGCCCUAAACAGUGUUACUAAUGGGAACGCACACCUAGAGACUUUCCUGGUGCCUAUGGCCUCGAACCAUCCUCCCCUGGUCAGCCAUGUGCAGGGUGACCUGCAGGCAUGCAUCUCCAUUGAAAGCCACCUGCCUUUGGUGACAGUCCUUUGCCCUCUCCUGGAAUGGAGAUUUCACUAACCUGGUGCUCUUUCUUAAGAAGACUUUCUCCAUUGUAUCACUUUGCUUUCUUGUCAAAAGUCUGAUAACUGUAUUCGUGAAGGUCUUUUCCGGGGUUACCAUUCUGACUCUCACCAGUUCCACAUUGCCAUGAUUGGCUGUCUCUUAAGUUAGUGAAGCUGUGACACGUCAGUCCUCCAGUGUGUUCAUCUUCAAUUACGGGCGGUGGGAUCUUCGGGGUAUCUUCUUCCCCACAUACAUUUUAAAAUCAGUUUGCUAAUUGUAAAACAUCUUGAUAGGAUUUUUUUUAAAGAUUUAUUUAUUUUAAAGAGUUACACAGAGAAGGUGAGGAAGAGAGAGAGAGAUAGAGAGAGAGAGGUCUUCCAUCUGCUGACUCACUCUCCGAUUGCCCACAACAGCUGCAACUGUGCUGAUCUGAAGCCAGGAGCCCCAACCUUCAUCCGAUUCUCUCAUACAGAUGGUAGGGGCCCAAGCACUUGGGCCAUCUUCUACUGCUUUCCCAGGCCGUAGUAGAGAGAUAGAUUGGAAGAGGAGUAGCCGGGACUCAAGGCAGGAUCUAUGUGGAAUGUCAGCAGCCGCUACGCCACAGCGCUGGAAAGACUGCGUUGGUCUAUCAAAUGAAGAAAUACAGAUAUCUUGGCUAGAUUAAGUCUUCCAAUCCAUAACCAUAGAAUUUGUCUCCAAAUGUUUAGUUCUUCCUUGACAUAUUUUUUAGGAGCUUUGUGGUGAUCCUCAUGGAGAUUUUACAUAUUUUGUUGGAAGUAUACCUAGAUGUUUCAUUUGUUUUGCUACAGAACAUUUUUUUUUAAUUUCCAUGCAUAGUUUUCUCAUUAGAUUCAUUUUCCAAGAGCCCUCAUAUGUUAGUGUCGUACUUUUCUUAUGUGCUGCUCUACACAUCUCUAGUUCUGACUUGGUCUUGCUCAUGCACUUGCUGAUCUUUUUCUCCACACACACACCCACACACACCCACACACACCCACACAUCCUCUUUCCUUCCUCUAGAUUCACCAUGGUGCCUCCCUGCAUUGUAAGUAAAACGAAACAAAACAAAUGUGUCCUAGAAGGCUCUGGUAUGCUUCCUAGGACACUACCCCAGUACAAAGGAGAAGUGUCUCAUUACUGCAAUGAGUGGCUAGCUUUGGGGUGAACACACAGGAGUUCCAUAUGGCCUCCACUGACAACAAGCCAGGUCUCUCUAAAGACAAGUGAAGAUGAAAAAUCUAAGUUCCCUAUUGGGCCUUGACACCAUCCCAAGGAGGGUGCUGCGGUUCUUCAUUUCUGAAUCAAGAAGCUGGAAGUGUAGCUCCACACUUGGCCUUGUCUGGUGUGAUAGGACUAACUGGGGUCUUUAUGUGCAAUCCAAUGAUUGCUGAUUAAGUGAUUUCUGUCUUGCUCGGCUGUGCUUUUCUUGAUUCUUUGACAAGAGAAAGCAGGCUUUGGUUAUGGCUUAUUUUGUCUACACUUGUUGGGACUUCUGAAAUGCUGGCUUCUUGAGGUCUCAGUCUGAAAUAUGUAAGAACAAAGGAAAGCCAGGAAAUUCACCAUUGUGUUAUUUCUUGGGUGCUAAAGUCCCUAGUUGGUCUGCCUUCAUUUCUAUAUCUUUCAGUAUUCUUAUCCUUGUUUUCUAAAUAAUAGCCAAUUUUUUCAGUAAUCAUUAGUGGGAGUAAUAAAGAAAGAAAUACCUAUUCCA